rnacentral:rRNA from 1 species
AGCGAACGCUGGCGGCAGGCCUAACACAUGCAAGUCGAACGAUCCUUCGGGAUAGUGGCGGACGGGUGAGUAACACGUGGGAACGUGCCUUUUGGUUCGGAACAACUCAGGGAAACUUGAGCUAAUACCGGAUGUGCCCUUCGGGGGAAAGAUUUAUCGCCAUUAGAGCGGCCCGCGUCUGAUUAGCUAGUUGGUGGGGUAAAGGCCUACCAAGGCGACGAUCAGUAGCUGGUCUGAGAGGAUGAUCAGCCACAUUGGGACUGAGACACGGCCCAAACUCCUACGGGAGGCAGCAGUGGGGAAUCUUGCGCAAUGGGCGAAAGCCUGACGCAGCCAUGCCGCGUGAAUGAUGAAGGUCUUAGGAUUGUAAAAUUCUUUCACCGGG